CAGACCGCUCAAGUAUCUUCUAUAAAAGCACAUCUUUCAGCAUUCCCUGAUACUUUUGUUGGUGCUUCUUGUUACGGACUUGUGAUCUGCAAUACACAGAAAGAAAAGAAGCGCCAUUAGACUCGACUCUGCAGCUGCAGCUGGAGAACCACAUGAAAAGGAUAGAAAUAUUUUGUCAGCUAUUGUAAGGAGUAAGGACCGGCCGGAUGCCAACAAAAUCAGCCAGCCAAGCAAGGGCUUCGCCAAAAAAAAAAAUCUAAAAAUCAUGAUUGUGUAUGCUAUGUAUACAAAUAAGAGAACAAACUAGAAGAGUCGAAGAAACGACAACAAGAUUCAUUGACAGUCAAUAGAAGGCACAUAGAAGGUGAAAGGUAGGGGAUGAAUCUGAUUUGAUCUGAAUGCAGUUUGUGUAAAGCCAUCACCCGGCUAUUUUGAACCCCAGCAAAAAAAGAGAGAAAGAUCCGAUCUCUCUAAUAAGAAUCCGUACCAAACAGCACCUUACAGAUGAAUCAAACCAAAAUAAAACCUCAGGUGCUAAUGAACCAAACAGCACCUAAGGUCAUUACCGUUACAGCAAAAAAAAAAAAAGAGAAACAAACGGUGCUAAUGAAUCAAACGCAGCAGCUAGCGCCGGCAACCAUUGCCAUUACCGUUACCACUCCAUCAACCCAACCAAACAGCACCUAAUAAGAAUUUCCCGCCGCCGCCUUUAUUCUAAUCCUGAAUCUAUAAACCAGGUCUGCAGGGAGGCGCUAGGUAUACGAUCGCCGCCGUAUGGCGUCCUCAUCCUACAGCGUGGAUCCGUAAAAAGAAGUGUGAUGGGAACGCGUGGCGGCUGCCGGUGUGCAAGUAGACUGAUAAGGAAGACACAAGGUGGAUUGGUUGGUUGCUGUUACGGCGUUACGUACCUUGCGACGACGACGAGAGCCAAGGCUUCUUCCGGGCGCUGCACUUUUUCAAGGCCAGGGGGCGUCGAGACGAUCGCCGCCGGUGUUCCGGCGAGCUUGGAGAGGUGGGUGCGGGUGGGAU
rnacentral:lncRNA from 1 species